UACGUAGGGCGCAAGCGUUUGUCCGGAUUCACUGGGUGUAAAGGGUGCGCAGGCGGGAAAGUAAGUUAGAGGUGAAAUCUCACAGCUCAACUGUGAAACGGCCUUUGAUACUGCUUUUCUUGAGUUAGGGAGAGGUUGAUGGAAUUCCAGGUGUAGCGGUGAAAUGCGUAGAUAUCAGGAGGAACACCUGUGGUGUAGACGGCUUACUGGACCAUGACUGACGCUGAGGCACGAAAGCUAGGGGAGCAAACAGG
rnacentral:rRNA from 1 species